ACUCAACACUAUUCUAUUAUGAAGGAUGAGUCUUAACUACUAAAGCAUGCCACUAGUGCUGAACCUUAUACUGAAUUUAUUUCAGUAUUAUUUCAGUAUCUUGGGUGGAUCCUUGAACAGUUAGUUAAUCCUAUAUAUGUCAUUAUGGAGUUU
rnacentral:sRNA from 1 species